ACAGGAUUAGAUACCCUGGUAGUCCACGCCCUAAACGAUGUCAACUGGUUGUUGGGGAUUCAUUUCCUUAGUAACGUAGCUAACGCGUGAAGUUGACCGCCUGGGGAGUACGGUCGCAAGAUUAAAACUCAAAGGAAUUGACGGGGACCCGCACAAGCGGUGGAUGAUGUGGAUUAAUUCGAUGCAACGCGAAGAACCUUACCUAGGCUUGAAAAGCAAGUGACAGGGUGUGAAAGCACCCCUCCAGCAAUGGCACUUGUACAGGUGCUGCAUGGCUGUCGUCAGCUCGUGCCGUGAGGUGUUGGGUUAAGUCCCGCAACGAGCGCAACCCUUACUAUUAGUUGCCAUCAGGUCAAGCUGGGCACUCUAAUAGGACUGCCUACGCAAGUAGUGAGGAAGGUGGGGAUGACGUCAAGUCCGCAUGGCCCUUACGCCUAGGGCCACACACGUGCUACAAUGGGUAUGACAAUGGGUUGCCAAACCGCAAGGUGGAGCCAAUCCCUUAAACGUACCCUCAGUUCGGAUUGGAGUCUGCAACUCGACUCCAUGAAGUCGGAAUUGCUAGUAAUCGCGCAUCAGCACGGCGCGGUGAAUACGUUCCCGGGCCUUGUACACACCGCCCGUCAAGCCAUGGAAGCCAGGGGUACCCAAAAUCAGUGUUCUAACCGCAAGGAGGAAGCUGCCUAAGGUAAAACUGGUGACUGGGGCUAAGUCGUAACAAGGUAACCAAGGGC
rnacentral:rRNA from 1 species